CUCCAUGGGGUUUGGUAUUUUUUAUUAUCUUGCUUUGAUGCUAUAAUUCAUGAAUUAGGUAUUAAUAUAUUAUUGUGGACACUCAUGUCAUGUUUUACUUAUAUAAGUUCAGUUAUUUGUUUACUUUUAAACUCAUAUCUUGGGAUCAUGCUCAACUGUCCUUGUCUGUUCCAGUUGCAUGAUAUGUGUUCCAUUAGUGAGUUAAGGCGAAUUGAAGUGUUAUUUUUAGGGGGUUAUGGCAUACUUUUAGCUCCUCUCCUUCUUGUUCGCUGUUGAGUUGAGGUAAAGGAAUUGGUAGUUCACUUUUAAUCUGCAGGAGAUUAGACUUUGUUCUAUACAUUUAUGCUAAUGGUUAAUGAAGCCAAAUAGGGUAAUAUAUCUAAUCAGAGAGCAAGAGAUGUAAUGUCAACUAACCUGCAAUUAUGCAUACCUACAGCUAUUCAACUUGUGCCUCAAAAGUGGGCUCUUGAAUAUCUCAAAUUCUCAAUCGACAAUAAUAAUUAAGGCAAACUGAGAGUUAAUUCUGAAAAUUAAUGGAUCUUUGUCCAGAUAACUGGAAGUUGAAUUCCUGAUUAGUAAUUACAAUCACUUGUUCCCAAUAUUUGGUUUUCAUUUGCGGUACCAGAUAUUUGAGUCUAUUAGGAACAGGAUGACAGCAUCACUAAGAAAAAGUAAGUAAAUGACCCUUGAUUAUGAACUUCCAAAGUGGGACAAUAAUAGCAAUGUGGAUCCAGUAUAUUUAGGGGCCUUUUUCAUGAUAGACAAUUUUGAUGUUGGUUCCCUUUCAUUAUCAGUAAAAUUGAAAAAGAAAAUUGUAUUGGCAGUUUGAAGGUUAGUACGGUUAGAUUUACCUGGUGCUCUCUUUGUUAAUGGUUUGUAUCAUUUUCUUGCGGUUGUUUUUGUUUUCUUAUUUAGUUCCAUCUUUCUUUUGUGUUUUGAUGUAAAAUGUUAAAGGUCAAGUCAAUGGAAAGCUUGAGCUCAUAUGAGUAGUUGCUUCCAAUUGUUUGAUUUUCAAUAAUUUGAACUGGUGACCAUUUAAUGUAAUGGUAAAAAUAUUGAAGCAAUAUGAACUCAAGCUUGUUUUUCAGAAACUGCUACCGAUUUCCCAUGAUGAAAAGAAUGCCUCGAUUGUGAUUUUGGAUGCUUUUGAGAUAGGGUAAAUUGGUAACUUAAUGGUUUUUAAUUUUCUUUUCCACCAUAUGUCAAUGUAAUAUCAAGUUAUAGUAUCAGGAGUAAGAUUCUAUGUUGCUGCUACAUCCACAGUCUGCAUAUUAUUUAAGUGACUGAUCAAAUUACCACUUUGAAAGAAAACAGAUUCAGAAAGGCACUGUGGAUCUGUUUUUGGAAAGUGACUUCUUCCUUGUUCUGAUAGGUUCCACCAGUCAAAAUUUGUGUCGAGUCUUUUUCUGUCAUUCUGUUUCACAUUUUGGUUUCUGGAUAGUGUCUGAUUUAGUAGUAAUAACCAUCAAUUAUAUUUGAAAUCAUUUGCUGUCAACCCAGAUUUCUGAAUCAGCGAUUGCUACGCAUUUGAAGCAGCCAACCAUUGAACACAUUAAUUGGUGCUCGUCAAUAUGAUUUUUCUCUGGAUCAUAGACAGCUUCCAAAUACAUCGUAUCAAAGAAAGCAAGUAUCCUUAGCUUCCUCAAUUUGUGCUCCUAAGGCGGGUGUGGUUUGACUUAAGUAAAGUCCUGGUUUACUUUGAGUGGCUGCCAAAUAAUUCUGCUGGCAAAAAAAAUCAGUGGCUGUUGCUUGUUGCUGAUAUCUACCAAUAUCUUCCAAUUAUUGGGUCAGGUGAGUAGGUCUGCCCACCAUGCUAUUUCCUCGGUCUUUGUUCAGGAACAUAUGAUUAGAUUGUUGGCAUGUGCAAAACCUGCAUCUCCGAUUGAAUUGAUAAUUGUUCAUGAACAUUGUGAUGCCCUUCCUCUUUAAAAAGGAAAAAAAAAAGAUAAGAAUUAGUAAAUGAGGAGUGUAAUGGAAUUUCAAAGACAAAGGAAAAUAGAAACCAAAACAACAGUCCACUUAGUGCCAUUUUAUCAAGCUUUUAAUAGAAAGUAAUUAGCAGUUGAAUAAUUAACUAUUGGAAUUAGGAGUUGGAUUAAGAAAAAGGAGACAGAACAAUCUAAUAUUUACCAUAGCUAGCUUAUCUUUAUCGAAAACCCCAACUUAUUUAUAUAAUUAUAUUGUCAUAUAGUUUAUAUAUGAAUGUAUAAGUUGCUCUAGUAUCUUAGGUAUGCGCAAAUGAUGAAUCUUGUGAGUACAUACAUUCAUCUCAUUGAGAUUUUUGACUAUUUAAAAAAGGAAUGGAAAAGCUGCAAGCAGUUAGCUAAAUGUAGUUGCUUAACUAAAUGAAGAAACUCUAAGAAAAUGACAUCUUCAAUUUCCAUGGCAACAUUCAUAUUUGUCUAUAUUCUUUAAACAGACUAUUGGGGUAUGAAACUUAAUAUUACAAGGUGAUUGGCUCAGAUCAUGUUCAUUAAGGUCCGGUAUUUACAAGCAAUGACAGAAGUACUCAAGGCCAAUCGUCACUACUGGAUCAGAAAGAAAGGCGAGUAUUUUCGCUGAAUUUUGUUCAAGUUAGGAUUAGUACAUAGUGGAAUAGCACACAUCAUGGUCCCCUGUAUAGAUGGUGCAACAGAUAAGGUCUAGGUCCCAUACCUCACUUUCCCAUAUAGAAGACAAUAAGACAAUAAUGUUAAAGACAAUAAUGUUGGUUGGGUAUAUGAAUUAGAUUUCUUUGUUUUGCCUA